CAGUUGACGUCAACUCUAACUUUAGCAUCUUUCUUUUAAGCAGAGUAGAAAGUGCUAUCAAGUUGGGGUAGAUGUUUGCUG
ensembl:miRNA dre-mir-430b-7 microRNA 430b-7